ACUUCAACCGGUAAGAGCAGAAGACAUAACUGUGCAGGAGUAAAUGUUAUUGUGUUUACUGUGUAAGUGUACUCACAUGGCAUAAGCGCAGUAAUUAUUUUAGUGCUAAUAUUUGCAGUUGAUUGCUGAAUACUGACUAUUUCAAAACUGACAACUUGAGUGAAGAGACUGUACUUGAGAAGCCUAGAAUUAGAGGUUGCUGAACUCAAGAAAACAAUGGCAGUAAAGGACUCAUUAAUCCGAACUUUAGCUUUUGAAAUGCAAGACGAACUAAAGCGUAAUCAAGAAGUGGUUAAAUUAGAAGCAAUGUUGGCAGCAGAUCUUUCGGUAACUCAUUCUUUAAAUGCUGACGUCACAGAUGAAAUUCAACUUACGGAAGAAAUUGAAGGAAUACAGAGAUCUGAGGUGGAAGCUCUCCAAGAAACUAUGGUUAAUUCCACGUUUCUCAUCAACUCUCAACCAAAGAAAGGGAUAGGAAGAUUUCACUUUACUAUUUUCAUAAAGCCAAAGCUUCCUGAUGAUCAGGAGUACAUUGAAGUUAACUGCAAACUACCAAGGCAUCCACUCUUUAAUGAUUGUGAAUCACUAACCAAAGAAGCCUCUGCUGUUAAACACAGUUUUUACAGAACAACAUCAGGUCAUAGAUGGCAGUCUAUUUUUCAAGUUCAACACCUCAGUCCUAUAGAACUACAUGUAACACUACCUCUAGGAUAUCCACAGUUGAAUCCUCCUCAUUUCACUAUCUGUUGUCUUUGGCUGACCAAUCAUCAGAUUACUAAUUUAUGUAGCAAGCUGGAUGAACUAUGGGAAAUAAUGAGAGGGAUGCCAAUAAUUUUCUUUUGGACAGACUGGCUAGAGAAUCACAGUAUCAGGUUCCUGGACAUCUACCAAAUAAUCCUGACUAGUCCUCUAGAUGGAAUUAAUUCAGGAAAAGCAGUGGAUGAUAUGGUUGAUGAAAAAGUUGUCCCAGAUAACAGGGGAGUUGUGGAGAAGUUGAAGAUUAUGAUCAAGUAUAACUGGGAGGAGGAACAGCAUUUUUUCACCCAGAACAUUCAGGAAUGUACCAUUUGUUUUGGUGAGGAUUUGGGACAGAAUUUCUUUAGGCUUCCUGACUGUAAGCACCACUUCUGCCAAGGCUGUAUUAAGAAUUAUUGUGAGCUGCAUGUGAAAGAAGGGACAGUUCAAAACCUCAGGUGCCCAGAAUCAGACUGCGAGGAAGAGCUACCUACAAGUAUCAUCACUACAAUCCUUGAGCCUGAUGCUCUAGAACGCUGGGAACAUUUACUAUUACAUAAAACUCUGGAUGCCAUGAAAGAUGUUGAAUGGUGUCCUCGCUGUAAUAAUCCUUGUGUCUGUGAUGAAAAUGACUCUUUGAACCUUGCCUUUUGUUUGCAGUGCUCAUUUGCUUUCUGUACCUCUUGCAGGAAUUCAUGGCAUCAGGGUACACCAUGUAUCAGUAUAGAAGAAGUGUUAAAGAAUACAUCUUUGGAAAGAAAUAAUAACACACAACAAAAAACAUAUGAAGAGUUAAUAUCAGUAUACUGUAUUUCAAAGACAACCAGGAAGUGUCCACAGUGUAAGGUGCCUAUAGAGAAACAGAAUGGCCUGAGCUCGAGUCACAGAACACAAGGGAAACACAUCGGGAUUCUCCUCAACUACAACAUCAUCCUUAGAUGAAACAGUGAUCGGCUCACUAACCAUCUUAGGUUAGGCAACAACUUUGGGGGCUCGUCCCGGAUCUGAACCCGGGACCUCUCGCACCCAAAGCAAGAAUCAUACCCCUGGACCUAAAUUCAAGUUGCAACAAAGUCAUAUGUUCACAGUGUAAAACUUUCAUGUGCUGGGGAUGUGGAAAGAAAAUUAAUUCAUAUGCUCAUUUUGAUACAAAUUCAAAAUGUAACACAUUUAUAAUGCCAGUUUACAAAGAAGG
rnacentral:misc_RNA from 1 species